GCUGGAGAGCUCAGCUGGUUAAAGCGUGGUGCUAACAACACCAAGGUUGCAGGUUCAGUCAGCUACAUAUUCCUGCACUGCA